CGGCGGACGGGUGAGUAACGCGUGGGUAACCUGCCUCAUACAGGGGGAUAACAGUUAGAAAUGACUGCUAAUACCGCAUAAGACCACGGUACCGCAUGGUACAGUGGUAAAAACUCCGGUGGUAUGAGAUGGACCCGCGUCUGAUUAGGUAGUCGGUGAGGUAACGGCCCACCAAGCCGACGAUCAGUAGCCGACCUGAGAGGGUGACCGGCCACAUUGGGACUGAGACACGGCCCAG
rnacentral:rRNA from 1 species